CGGAGAACACGCCCCAGUGGAUGAAGAUGCCGAACUUGACUUCAUCAAACCAGGUCGGAAGUGGUCUGGAAUCCAGAGACUCCCAGGCUUGCAGAGCAAGGAAAGGAGGCUUGGAGGGAAGCUGAAACCAGGCCCUACAUUAGUGUUUCUGAGGGAACCCAGGAUGAGUGGGCAGUGUGAAAUUUGUAGUGCACACACUCACUGAUUUAACGACUCAACCUGGUGCUAUUUGCCUUCAAUUGGUAUAUAAAUUGAUGGGAUUUGAGCCCCUCAUCCCUGGCCCUACCCCAAAGCCCAUAUUCCCAGUGGGAGUCCUCACACCCCUGCGCUAUCCAGGACUUUGUUGCCCUGUUCCAAGUGCAGUUGAUUUGAGACAGACCUGCUCUUACAUAUAGUAUGAUUACUAGCACAGCAGGUGCAUAGAGAUUGGGCGGUGCAUUAUGAAAAGUUCUGAAGAACAAAGGAAAUUUACCUCAUUAUUUAUAAAUGUUAUCACUUAAGGAAAAUUAAACCUUAGGCCUGCCCACCUUGCUCCCUGGGACUAUGAGUACUGUAGAGUCUCAUUUGGGAAAAGACUGACUGUUUUUGCAGCAGUGUUUAAUUUACGCCCUUGUUAAAGAAUCUCCUACUUUAGGGGAAGGAAUUUGCAUUGUGUUUCAAAGAGGCAUUUAAAAUCUCACUCAUCUUGUGAAUUCUCUCCAGUUCUGAUUAACCCAGCUUGAUAGCCCUCCUCUCCCACUGUAAACUACAACUGUGAAGGCAUGACAUAGACUGUGAACAUCUGAAUAAAUGUCUGGAAAAGU